AUUGAACGCUGGCGGCAGGCCUAACACAUGCAAGUCGAGCGAGAGGAGGACGGGUGAGUAAUGUCUGGGAAACUGCCUGAUGGAGGGGGAUGACUACUGGAAACGGUAGCUAAUACCGCAAACCAUCAGAUGUGCCCAGAUGGGAUUAGCGAGUAGGGGUGGUAACGGCUCACCUAGGAGACGAUCCCUAGCUGGGCUGAGAGGAUGACCAGCCACCCUGGAACUGAGCCACGGUCCAGACUCCUACGUGAGUCAGCAGUGGUGAAUAUUGCACAAUGGGCGCAAGCCUGAUGCAGCCAUGCCGCGUGUGUGAAGAAGGCCUUCGGGUUGUAAAGCACUUUCAGCGGGGAGGCGUUACCCGCAGAAGAAGCACCGGCUAACUCCGUGCCAGCAGCCGCGGUAAUAC
rnacentral:rRNA from 1 species